rnacentral:rRNA from 1 species
UACGAAGGGAGCUAGCGUUGUUCGGAAUUACUGGGCGUAAAGGGCGCGUAGGCGGCUUCGAUAGUCGGGCGUGAAAUGCCUGGGCUCAACCCAGGAAUUGCGCUCGAUACUGCGAGGCUUGAGUGUGGGAGAGGAUAGUGGAAUUCCCAGUGUAGAGGUGAAAUUCGUAGAUAUUCGCAAGAACACCGGUGGCGAAGGCGGCUUCCUGGACCGACACUGACGCUGAGGCGCGAAAGCUAGGGGAGCAAACGGG